AGCAUCAAAUAUUUGCAGUGCUCUGGGAAGACGGGUGAGAGUCCCGCACGGAGCCGCCGCUGUAACGGUACCAGCACGUUUCAUCAUGUCACUGUGAGAAAUCAUGGGAAGGCGAAACGGGCGAUGACGCCGGAGUCAGAAUACCUGCGCUGCAAAUCACUCCAUC
rnacentral:ncRNA from 2 species